ensembl:lncRNA
UGUUGUAGUAGGCGUCUUGCGGGGGCACGGGAUGUACGGGACAGGCCUCUCCCUAAACAUAGAGAGAUAGUGCUAUCGUGCUGACCUUGUUGCAGAGAAAACAGGAGAAGAAGAAGGAUGAUAAAAGAAUGUGGAAACGGCCAAAUAAGGCACAAUGUUAUCUGGUGUGAACUAAUCAGAGUGGGACAUGACAGCACGGUUAUCUAGGUAAAAUGUAUAUAAGCUGUGUUUAGUAGUGAAUAAACGCCAUUUGCCUCACUUACUCCUGGGGUCUGGGUGAGCAUCUGGCCCCGACCUGGUAAAGGGUCGGUUUCGCCCAGCAGUAAGCCCUACAUGUGGACAGAGGACGAACACCGGACGAGCGAAGGGAGACUACACGCAACAAGUGGUGACCCCGACGUGAUCUGUCUGCUGAGGGUGGCUGCCCGGCGUGCCCGUGACGCGGAGAAGAGCCUGUGAGGUGGCGGCAGGUCGCAUGCGUAACAAUGGACCAAGUCAUUAAGACCGAAGCCAACUCCAGAACAACUGAGGGACAGACGAUGGGAUUAAGAACCACUCGUCAAGAGGAGCACUACACCUGCAACGCUGACACUUCCGAUGUUGCUGAUAUUUAUGGUGUCCAUGGCGAUUACAGAGUGUCACAAACAACUACAAUGGACACAAGAACAUAUGCAGAAAAUUAAAGAAGAGCGUGAUCCCUUUGGAAGCUGGCUGGACGGACUGUUUGGGGGAACGGGUUCAUGGUUAAAGCAAUUGCUUAAAGCUCUCGCAGUAGGAUUUGCAAUCUUUGUGUGUAUUCUAAUCUGUCUUCCAUGCUUUGUAGGAUGCUUGCAGAACUGCCUUCAACGAAUGAUGGACAAGACUUUUGACUAUCACAUUGAGUAUCAUAGAUUGCGUGAAAAAUUAUAGAGGGGUUUAGGUUGUUGCGUUCGUGCUGUAAUGGGGCAAGGCUUGGCCGAGCACGGAAAAGAAUUCCCUGUUGCUCUGAUGAUUGCUUAAGAACUGUAGUAGAAAAUAGUAGGAAUAGUGUGCUGAAAUAUAUUUAGGAUUAGGCGUUUUGCGCUGCUUCGCGAUGUACGGGUUAGGUGUGUGUGUAAGUAGUAUUUAGCUUAGGGAGGGGGAGAUGUUGUAGUAGGCGUCUUGCGGGGGCACGGGAUGUACGGGACAGGCCUCUCCCUAAACAUAGAGAGAUAGUGCUAUCGUGCUGACCUUGUUGCAGAGAAAACAGGAGAAGAAGAAGGAUGAUAAAAGAAUGUGGAAACGGCCAAAUAAGGCACAAUGUUAUCUGGUGUGAACUAAUCAGAGUGGGACAUGACAGCACGGUUAUCUAGGUAAAAUGUAUAUAAGCUGUGUUUAGUAGUGAAUAAACGCCAUUUGCCUCACUUACUCCUGGGGUCUGGGUGAGCAUCUGGCCCCGACCUGGUAAAGGGUCGGUUUCGCCCAGCAGUAAGCCCUACAUGUGGACAGAGGACGAACACCGGACGAGCGAACGGAGACUACACGCAACAGUAUAUG